AACGGCUGGCGGCGUGCCUAAUACAUGCAAGUCGAACGGUCUUUCUAUGGAAGCUUGCUUCCACUGAGAAGAUAGUGGCGAACGGGUGAGUAACACGUGGGUAACCUGCCCAUAAGAGGGGGGAUAACAUCCGGAAACGGGUGCUAAUACCGCAUAGUUUUCUUGAUCGCAUGAUCGGGAAAGGAAAGACGGCCUUUGUGCUGUCGCUUAUGGAUGGACCCGCGGCGUAUUAGUUAGUUGGUGAGGUAACGGCUCACCAAGACGAUGAUACGUAGCCGACCUGAGAGGGUGAUCGGCCACAUUGGGACUGAGACACGGCCCAAACUCCUACGGGAGGCAGCAGUAGGGAAUCUUCCGCAAUGGACGAAAGUCUGACGGAGCAACGCCGCGUGAGUGAAAGAAGGUUUUCGGAUCGUAAAACUCUGUUGUCAGAGAAGAACAAGUUGGAGAGUAACUGCUCCAGCCUUGACGGUAUCUGACCAGAAAGCCACGGCUAACUACGUGCCAGCCGCCGC
rnacentral:rRNA from 1 species